ACUCCCCUUUAUAAGGGCCCCAGGAGAGGCAAGCCCCAAGCUUGCCCACUUGGGCAGAGGAUCCUCCUCGGAUCAUCACCGGGGUUUGGUUUGUUUCUGCUGUGCAAGAGACAGAGCUUAGCCCUGUUCCUGAGCAGGUGCUUAGCCCUUCCCUUUGUCAUGGCUCCAGGAAGGCAGCAGCCCCAAGCUUGCCCAACUGGGCAGAGGAUCCUCCUCCUGCCAGCACAGCUGAGUGCCCCUGGAGUGCACUGGGAUAAGGUUUGCAUCGUCUCUCCCUAAUCAACGAAGACAAAGAUUGCCUUUGGUAACUCCCAGGACUCAGACUCAGUGCUUGGCCAAAAGCUGAGGGAUGGAAAUCAAGAGACAAGCCUUGGAAACUGCUGGACCUCAGCCUGAGUGCCCAGGAUGCCUACACCUUGUCCCUGCUACCCCGAAGAGAAAAGGCUGCUGUGUACUCAGGGCAUGGACAGGUACAGCCAGGCAGGGGCUGUUCUCUUCAUCUCUCUCCCUCUGUUCUGUACAACUUUGUCCUUUAAUAAAUAGUUGUGUGUGA